UCAGCUAGAAUCAUGCUGCUGUAAAUACUGGAGUUAUUAAUACACUCUCAUUACGCUACAUUAAUUAGGAGACCUGGAGGACAACUUACAAGUCCUUUGAAAGACUAGUUCCAGUUAUUGUAUGGAUCUGAUCCAUGCCAGGAAAGCUGUAUGUCUGCAGUCCUAUCAAAUGAAUGACCUGGCCUUUUAUGCUGGAUCUGAGCAGUGUCAGUGGCUUCAAUGGCUUCCAAGUGAUGACCAAAAGCCCAACUCUUCCCCACCUAUCAGCAAAUGAUGUGAAAUGUGGUCACUAAGAGUAUAUGCACCUGCUUCCAGGGGACAACCAGGGCACAAGCUUCUCACAUCUCCCCAGGGUCCAUACAGGCUCUCAAGGUUUUCUAGCUGUGGCAACUGAGACAAAGAGAAGGUAAACGAUCAGCUGGCAGACAAGCACGAAACUCCAGCUCCCCAGAUUACUUGGCUGCUCCCAUCUGCUGGCUGACAUUCUCUCCUUUACUGCAAGAAACAUGGUCAGUGACUAAUAAGUAUUUAUUGAUCUCUGCUUGAGAUACUUGCUGAGAAAUGUAGAUAUCAAUGAAUAUUUGAUCUGAAUUAAUGCUAACAACAACAGUUUUUCCUUUAUUGCCUCAUUUAUGUAGGAUAUUCAUGCCUGCAUGAUCACUUGUAAACAGUAGCUGACCCUACAAUCUGAGGAGAAGGGUAUAUCGGUGGGAUAAACUCUAAUGAAUUAAAAUGCUAUUCAUUGUACUAUUUUUUAGCCAAAAGUUACCACUGUAGUUGUUGUUUGAGGGGCAAGUCAAAAUAUUAUUGAUUCUCAGCAGCUGUACUUGAUAAGUAGAAUAUAGGUCUAAUUCAAAGCCCAUUGCAAUCAAUUAAAGGGACUUCCUAUUGAUUGUAGGAGGCUUUAGAUUCUUUUCUAAACCAGACCUGCUUGCUCUCUAUCUCUUUCUCCUCCUGUAUUCCAUUCUUUUUGUUUCGUGCCCUUUCAUUCUCCACAGCUGCUCUGGUGGGAAAGGACCAAGGCAGUGUUCCUUAGGAGGUAACAUAAAGGAUGCUGUGCUCUCCCACCUCCCUAGUUCUCCCAGGAGCUGUGGAGCCUGCACCCUGAAAAUGAAUGGUGGAGCUUUAUUUGUGUUGAUUCCUCUGACUGAAGGACCUCAGUCCAACCUUUGUUCAUCCCACCACCUCUCCCCUCAUUCCUCAUUUUUCUGUCCCCUCGUGUUUAUUGCCUGUGUCUGCCAGCAUUACUACUACUGGUUGCUGUUACAGCGGUACUCGUGGCACACUUCAGGGGCUAUUCGGACGUUUGGAUGUAAGGGUGCUGGUAUAUCUGCUCUUCUCUCUAAGGUUACUUCUCAACUCUGCUGUUUGGAGGAGUAAAUCUCCUCCCAGUGUCCCAGUGCUUUUGGUUUCUCUGUAGUAAAAAGAAAGAAAAUGUUACUGAGCCUGUGGUGCUGUAUCUGUAUUACAGCCUGGGAGCCUGACACAGGGUUUGCAAAGUAGUUUGCAGAGGCUUUAAGGGCAAUAGCUGAAGAUCACUGGAUAAAGCAAUUCAGCCAUAACCACUGAACACAUUCCCUUCCUAUGUCCUGGUGCUUAGAAAAGGACAUGCCAGGCCUGUAUGGAAAUCGGCGAGACCUGAAACAUUGGUAUUUACCUAUGGAAGGUGAAAGGUUUCUGUGUAGCAGUGAGAAUUUGUGCAUGCAUGUUUUCAAGUCUAUAUAUGACUGAUUCACUCCAAUACAAUUUCUGCUCUUACAUCAGAAAAGCAGCUUGAGUGUUCUUAAUGGCUUUUAAAAUUGAAUUGUGAUGAUGACUCAGAAGAGAGUAUAGCUGAAGAUGGAACAAAGUCACAGUUUGUGUGUUACUGCCUGAAUCAUAAUUGUUGCCAUUAGUAGGCAUACAUUCAAAUCUUUAUGGAACAGAGCUUUUCAAAAAGUGUCUUCAAAAUCAAGGCUAUCCAGUACCAAGGAAACUAUUGGAAUACUACACGUAUAGUAGGUAGGUGCUUACUUUUAUUAAAUCAACAGGAAAGAAGGGAAUACUUAAAGUUGCAAAUACUUCAUUCUUCCAACUGCCCUGAAAGAAAAAACAAAAGUAGAAUUCCAAAGCCAUAGUUUUAUUGAAAGAUCUGCAAGUGAAUGGCUUGAGAGAAGAAUUUGUUGGAUUCCUUUCAAGUGAUAUGUACAGAAAGAUAUACAUACUUUGGCUCCUAUUCCAUCUUUAAUGUACUCCUGAGAUAUAUACAUUGUUAUUAACAACCAGAUUUGACGUCAUGUAUAUGGAUUUAAAGUGUAGCAGAGAUUACUCAAGUUUGCUGAUUUAAUAAACUACAUUUUUUACUACAGGUUUCAAGAAAGAAAAACACAUGCUUGCCUGAUUUUUUAGAUUGUAAAAUUCCCUCUGGUGCAUUAUCACAUCAAACACAAUAUUUUGUUUAAAAAGGAAAAAAAAAAAAAAAAACACAAAUUAGCACAUGUAUCCCAGUUUCACUUCUGUUCCUUUUCAAAUCACUCUUUAAUUUCACUGCAGUCUUACUACUUCUGCAAAAGACUGAAUUUGGCACUUGGCAGAGAUCUCAAUUUAUUAUGGUCAGGAGAAGGAAUGUUUUUUAGUUGGAAAUAUCACUAAAUUUCUACAUUUUAGUUUCAUAAUUGUAAAAAUAGCCAGUAUUUCAAAGUCUUUCACCAAGUAAUAUUUUGGAGAUACCAUGCUGGAAUU